ACACGUUCUCUCUCAUCAUUCACCUUCACCUCCACCUCCACCUCCCUUAUCUAAAAACCCUAGCCGCCACUCCUCACCACCUCCACCACGACCAACACCAACAUAAUGACCAACACUCCCACCAAAUUCAUUGUCACCGGUCACCACUACUACUCAUCAUCACCACGUUUUUGUAACUCAUCCUCACAAAACACAAAUCCAACAUAUAUUUCACAAAUCAAAAAAAGAAAUCAUUCAUCAUCUUGACAGUCUAUUAUUCAUGGCUUGUUUCUAGUUGUUUGUAAGCUCUUCAACCAACUUCAAAAUUCUGCAUAGAGUAUGUUUAUUUGUGGAGUUUGAUUCGUCUUCAGUCACCUUCAAAAUGCUGCAUAGAGGUUGCUAAUUAGGUGGUGUUGAUUUCAAAUCCUAAGUUACCUUCUUAAGAACCGUUCUAAUAAAUCAAUCAUGCUUCUCUUAGUUUAGAAGAGAUCAUGAUACUUGUGUUUUUCUCUUUCAAACAGAGACUAGAAGAAUCGUCGGUCAUGCCAACUUCUAGAAAUUGCUCUGGUAUGAAUUUCUUUAUCUCACAAUUUAUUUGCUCAUUCUAGGAAUUUUAAGUUAAAUUAUGUAAUGGUUGUUAAAUUGUACUGGUUCAAUAUCUAACUAGAGUUUUAAGUUAUGUGACUAGGAAUUUUUCAAAUAUUGAUAUCUAUCUACUGUGAUGCUAAACUAUGUAGUCCGUUUUCCACACAUGCACUUAUAUUAUUGAAAUGAAAUGUAUGAUAAGAAAGAUGUUAUGUACCAAGCUUAAGUAAAUAAUCUCCUAAAAACAAGAACGUUUUGUAAAGUAUAUGGUUAGCUUAGUUUUGAGGAAUGUCAAACUGCUAUGCCUAAUUUCUAUGAUUAUGGAAAUCUUCUUGUCCUUUUUGUGUGUAUAAUGUAGCUGAGAAAUGGAGUUUACUAAAAUGAUUGGUCAGUCAUGGAAUUGUCUCAGUCCUUUAGAAAUAAUGGUAAUUAAAAGGGUCAUUUCAUUUUAAUGUUGUUGUUUUUAUCUUAAUAAUAAUUGGUCUUUCUAUGGAAACUUGUUAUUGAAGUUAAGAAUUUUGGUUUUGGUUAGAGUAUAUGCAAUGAUUAUAAUAUCUUAAUAUUGCAUAAACCAGUUGAAUAUGUUUUGUUCUGUUUUUUCCAAUUAGCUACAGAAAAUUCCUCCAUUUAUUGUCUUAUUGUGUGCAAGCUGUUGAUCUAUUUUUCAGUCUUAAAGUUUCAAUGAAGUUUAAAUAAACCAUUAGCUUAUUAUGUGGAAUUCACAAUGCUAUUCAAGUUUAUGCAAAUCUGAUGGUUAAUGAUUUAGAUUGAUGUAGAAUAGCCAUUAAUGCAAAGGGGAUGAAGAUCAGCAAAGUUGAUGAUGAUCAACAAUUAUCUAAAAUUGAUGGAGUUUAAAUGUUACAUUAAUUAUCAAUUUUCAAUGUUAUAUUUUUUAUCUAGGAUUUUAAUUUGUAUUGGCAAUUUAAUAUCAUUAAAGUUAUUGAUAAUUAAUAGAAUUCGAUCAUACUGGAGGCUCUGUAUUAAAUUAAUAAGUUAAUAUGCAUUAUAUCA